GAAUUCAGAUCGAUGGAAAAUCUCAUGAACGAACCUCGAGCUAGCCGGUGGCCAGGGCCGCCAAGCACAACCACGGCCCCGGCAUCUUCCGCAGAUCGGGGUGCGCAGCAGUGCUUGCACGGCUCUUCACGUUGUUCCUGAUUCCUCUUUCAAACUUCUGCAGAUUUCUCUCUGUCCGGGCGGCAGCUGCAGCAAUUACUCGAGGAACAUGAACCAUAGUCGACCAAGGGUCAUGCCGGGCUGCCUUCCAUCCUGUAUGUGCACGAGAUUCCAAGCACCAAAUGGAGAUAUGGGGAAAAUCUGGACAUCCUAAUGUCGAGCUGAGUGUUUUGCUCAAAACAUUCUUUUCUGUUGGGUAUUUCAACUCUCUAGAGAAAUGAAAUAAUGCAUCUCACCAAGAGAGCUAGAGAAGUGAGGCCAAAAGAUGCAAAUUUCGGCAUUGCAAAGAUUCCAAAACUGAGAUUCACACGCAAGAAGGAUUGAUCCAUGAACUAUGAAACCAGCAGCUUUAACCCUGACAACCUUAUCAAAGUGGAGACGAUGGAGCUUGGUGCUUUGCCCCAUACUAUUAGAAGUUUAGAUACUAAGCAAAUCGAAGUAUGGAAAUGGAUACUGAUCAUCCCUCAGUUAGCUAUCUUACGAAAAACUCUCGUGAUAUUGCUAUGGUGCUCAUAAAGGUAACUUCUGCUGAUUCAGAAUCAAGUUACUAAGGCAUUUACUAACCUUUGUCAAGAAAAAAAACACUAAUACCUACUGUAUCUGGAGCUAAUUGACAGAGGGGAUGUUAGUCUGAGGAAAUAGCAUCCGAAGUUGCUAUUUCUUCAGCGUCCUUGGAAGCUGCUCUGGUGGUACUUUGGGCAUACCUUAUGUCUAGCAUUACAAGUUUAUUUCCGAGUUAGUUUUGCUAAUUCUCUGGCUUUCAGGGUGAAACUACAACCUUUUUCCCAUGGUUUGAAGUUGAAAAUCAUCAAGUGGCUUCAAAAGUCUGCACAUAUACCAGCUGUUGAAGCAAUCCCUCUUAAAGGGAGCUCAGAGGUGGUACAAGAGGACAAACUAGAUGGGUAGGGUACAAAUAGUGUGUGAAGAGUGCAGUGGUCCCACUGGACAAAGAAGCAGCAGUUGAGAUGUUGGGCUACGGUACUAAAAACCUGACCACCAAGGCACCAAGAUCUAACGCCAAAGUUCUGAAAGAAGAGAAGGCAAUAUGUGCAACUGGAACUACUUUGGAAAAUGGAAAAUAAUGGCUAAAGAAUCUACUAUAAAUCUGUCCCCAGUUGGAAGCAAGGAUACUUCAAAGGUAGUGCAUGAAGAAUUGGUAUAGAAAACACACUUCUCAGUAUUCCCUGAAGUUUUGCUUGUUUCUUGCCUCUGAACUGGUUUGAAGCAUUAAAUAUCAGUGUGUACAUAGUUUCUGAUUUU